GAAAUGCGAUAAGUAAUGUGAAUUGCAGAAUUCAGUGAAUCAUCGAAUCUUUGAACGCACCUUGCGCUCUUUGGCCAUUCCAAAGAGCAUGCCUGUUUGAGUGUCAUCGAAUCCUCAAGCCCCCUCCGACCUUUGCCGGUUGCGUGGGGUUAGCUUGGACUUUGGGAGCGCUGCGGGGCCCUUCACUCUGGGCUCCGCUCUCCUCAAACGCAUCAGUAGAAGGCCCCCUCGCCCCCUCCCCCCCUCGGGUCUCCGUUGGCGUUGAUAGUCAAUCUACGCCUCGCCCGUGCUUUGGGGUUUACCGAUCGACCUUUUGCUCCUCAACACACGCACAGCACCCCCCCGGGGUUCUUUGACCUUUUGACCUCAAAUCAGGUAGGACUACCCGCUGAACUUAA
rnacentral:misc_RNA from 1 species